rnacentral:rRNA from 1 species
AUAUUGGACAAUGGGCGCAAGCCUGAUCCAGCCAUGCCGCGUGAGUGAUGAAGGCCUUAGGGUUGUAAAGCUCUUUCGCGCGCGACGAUAAUGACGGUAGCGCGAGAAGAAGCCCCGGCUAACUACGUGCCAGCAGCCGCGGUAAUACGUAGGGGGCGAGCGUUGUCCGGAAUUACUGGGCGUAAAGGGUGCGUAGGUGGCCUUUUAAGUUGGAUGUGAAAUACCCGGGCUUAACUUGGGGGGUGCAUCCAAAACUGGAAGGCUAGAGUGCAGGAGAGGAAAGCGGAAUUCCUAGUGUAGCGGUGAAAUGCGUAGAUAUUAGGAGGAACACCAGUGGCGAAGGCGGCUUUCUGGACUGUAACUGACACUGAGGCACGAAAGCGUGGGGAGCAAACA